rnacentral:sRNA from 1 species
CACACUGAAACAGGCUCCUUUGAACUGAGCCAUUUUCCUGUGUUCUGAAUUGUGUCACUCACGCGUACCCUCGGAGGCCGAACGCCUGUUAACGGUGAGGUCUGUCUGUGUUCCUCUGUCUAGAUUAAGUUUGACAGUGUGGAGGUGUGUGUCUGCUGUGAGCUGCAGCACCAGUCGUCCGGCUGCAGCAACCUCGGGGAGACGCUGAAGCUGAACCCGCUGCAGGAGAACUGCAACGCUGUGAGGCUGACCUUGAAGGAUCUCCUCUUCAGCGUGUGUGCCCUCAACGUCCUGUCCACUAUCGUGUGUGCGCUGGCCACAGCCAUGUGCUGUAUGCAGAUGGUCUCCUCCGACGUCCUGCAGAUGUUCCUUCCUCAGAGGUCACAUCCUGCCAACCCCACCUGCGUGACUCCUCACGGCACCGUUCUCCACCAGACCCUGGAUUUCGACGAGUUCAUCCCCCCACUCCCGCCUCCACCCUAUUACCCCCCAGAGUACACCUGCACACCGUCUGCUGAGGCCCAGAGGGGCCUCCACCUGGACUUUGCUCCAUCUCCAUUCAGCACUUUGUAUGACGUGGCCAUCAACAGCCCCGGCCUGCUCUAUCCUGCUGAGCUGCCCCCUCCGUACGAGGCAGUGGUGGGCCAGCCCCCUGCCAGCCAGGUUACAAGUAUAGAUCAGCAGGUGGCCGAGUCCAGCCCCGGGGACCCAAACACCAGUGCUGGCUUCAGCACUCCAGUACCAGCUGACAGCACCAGCCUCCUGGUGUCCGAGGGCACUGCUACGCCAGGUUCCAGCCCAUCCCCCGAUGGCCCUGUGGGCGCCCCAGCACCCUCCGAACCUGCCCUUCCCCCUGGCUGCGUGUCUCCAGAGGAUCCUGGCAUGGGCUCACAGGUGCAGCCAGGUCCCGGGCGUGUGUCCCGCUCCACCAGCGAUCCCACCUUGUCCACAUCUGGCAUGGCAGGCGAUGCCUCUUCACACAGGCUGUCGUGUAGCCAGGACCUGGAAACGGGACUGUCUGAGGCUGUGCCUGGGAGCGCUUCCAUGUCUCGCUCUGCCACGGCUGCCUGUCGGGCCCAGCUUUCACCAGCGGGGGACCCAGAUACCUGGAAAAUUGACCGACGGCCAACACCAGAGCCCUUCCCGGCGGCCUCCAAAGAGCGGCCACACUCUUUAGUGGACAGCAAGGCCUAUGCGGACGCCAGGGUUUUGGUGGCCAAGUUUUUGGAACACUCACACUGUGCCCUCCCCACCGAGCCACAGCACAUGGUGGGUGCCAUGCGCUUGGCUGUCACCAACGAAGAGCGCCUCGAGGAGGAGGCCGUCUUCGGCGCUGGCGUUCUGGACCAGGUAUGAAGGAGCCACAUUUCUGACCAUGGA